UUAGGUGAAAUUGGUAGACGUAAGGAAGUCAAUUAAAUCUGGACACUUAGAGGAAGGAGGAGUCGUAACAAGGUUUCCGUAGGU
rnacentral:rRNA from 1 species